UUAUAAAAUUUUGUCCGGAAAAAAGAGAAAAUUGACCGGGAAUUUAUAAUCAUAAAAAUUAUCGCUAGUUUAUAAUAUCUAUCUAUCUAAUCAAAUAUAAACGUACGUGACAAUUGGUUCAUUUAAAUGUAACUUUUGAAGGUGAACAACACCGUCAUUAUAAUAGUCUCACGCUUAUCGAAACAUCAUCACGUAUUUUAUUUCCAUUUGUCUCUUUUUUUUUUUUUUUUUUAUUUUAUUUUAUUGAAAAAUUAUAUUAAAUCAACAAAUUAAAAAAAUUAUUCUAAAUUACAGAAAUUAAAUCCCGCUGAUUCAAAAAAAAAUUUAUUAAUACUAUGGACUAAUUACCUGAUCAUCAGACAGCAAACCAUUUCUAUAUAAUACAAGACUUGCCGCCAAAAUACUGGAUGACUGAUCAUUGGACAAUUAAUAAAGUUAAUUAAUACCUGACUCCAGAGACCUUGGCCAUUAUUAUUAUUAUUAUGGAAGAAAGCAGCCAGCAGGUCGUGACACAGCAUGGGAUAGGCGUACAUUAACGCCACCCUAAACAUGAUAUCCCGCAAUUCCGCGCUCAUCGUAAAUUCAAUUCAUCCAUUCAUCCCUAUUCAGGAAGCUUGGUGACAUAAGUUCCUGCCUGAUCAAAAAGAAGAAAAAGGUUCACCACUUUUUGAAUGAAUAUAGUUUUCAAAAAUGAAACAUGAAAUCAAGAAUCAAGAAGAUGAAAUCAAGAAACAUGAAAAUAGCUUCUUUUGUAGAUCAAAAAUGGCAUAUGAUGAUAGUUUACGAGCGUUAAUUGUACGAGGGCUUAGGUGGCAAGCCAUUACCGUUAAUCUGUUAACUCGGGUCAAUAGGCUGCUGCUGCUGCUGCUACACACGAUAUUCCUUACAUGCACCUAUGACAAUACAAAUUAUGCCACCUGACAGACUAUGCACACAUAAACGAACAACAACCAAAGAAGAGCUUAAAGUGCAUUUUGAGGUUGUUUACUAUAGACCCUUCAAGUCAUGUGAUUCACACUAAAGUUAUUUCAAUCCUGAUUUUGAAUUUUUUCGCUUUGGUAAAUCGAGACAUCGACGAGAUAAGACAUCAAUCUGAAUUUUUUUUUUUUUUUCCUAUAAAAAUAAAAAUAAUAUCAAUAGAUUUUCAGAAGAAAAUACAAAAAAAAGAAACCUUACCUCUAAACAUGCUUUACAACUAUAAAAGAAAAAAAUAAAAAAAAAAAUUUAUUUAUUUUAUUUUAUUUUAUUUAUA